AAGACCUUGCGCUUUUGGAGCGGCCGAUGUCUGAUUAGCUUGUUGGUGAGGUAAAAGCUUACCAAGGCUUCGAUCAGUAGCUGGUCUGAGAGGACGGCCAGCCACACUGGGACUGAGACACGGCCCAGACUCCUACGGGAGGCAGCAGUGGGGAAUUUUGGACAAUGGGGGCAACCCUGAUCCAGCCAUGCCGCGUGAGUGAAGAAGGCCUUCGGGUUGUAAAGCUCUUUCAGCCGGAACGAAACGGUUACGGUUAAUACCCGUGACUACUGACGGUACCGGAAGAAGAAGCAUCGGCUAACUACGUGCCAGCAGCCGCGGUAAUACGUAGGGUGCAAGCGUUAAUCGGAAUUACUGGGCGUAAAGCGUGCGCAGGUGGUUUUGUAAGUCAGAUGUGAAAUCCCCGGGCUUAACCUGGGAACU
rnacentral:rRNA from 1 species